AAGAGGAGGGAGUGGGUGGAGAUAUUACUUCGGCUUUGUUCCUGCUUGCCUGAAUGCCUGUUGUGUUUAUAGUGCGAUUGCUAGAUGCUGAGGCUUGGAUUCCCUACAUUAAAAAACUGACAGUGCAGGAUCGUCUGUACUCUGGGAGCUGCAGCGGCAGUUAUCUACUCUUCAAAGAUGCCACGUUGUUUUGCAAUUGGUUGCUCUACAAAACAAAUAAAGGGGAGAAAAACAAGCGAUAUCUCUCUGCAUUGCUUUCCGACAUCGCCUAACAGAAUAAGGAC